rnacentral:misc_RNA from 1 species
ACCUUAUUAUGUCAAAUAAUCAUCUUGAAGGUGCAAUUCCAUUGGAAUUUUGCCAACUUCUCUAUCUUGAAGUUUUGGACCUUACAAACAACAAUGUCUCUGGUAUUUUACCAUCUUGCUUUAGGCCUUCAUCAAUAAUACAUGUUCACUUGUCUGAUAAUAGGAUAGAAGGACCAAUGACAAGUGCACUUUCAGACAGUCGUUUCCUUGUUACAUUAGAUCUUAGCAAUAACCACAUA